GGUGAUCUCAGAUUGAACGGACACUUAUAUCCAUAUUCUUCGUGAGUUACUCUUGAGAGCAGAGUGCUCAGUAGUUGGUCACAUUCAAUGAGAUAUAUCCCUACGUCUCACUUGCAUGUUAUACCAGUGUCUUCACACUCCUUGAUUAAGAGGACAACCAACGCACAUAGCACACAACAACCUAUACUUAAUAUAACUAUCGUCUUAAUAAUAGCAUAUCAUUUGG
rnacentral:lncRNA from 1 species